UAUCUGGUUGAUCCUGCCAGUAGUCAUAUGCUUGUCUCAAAGAUUAAGCCAUGCAUGUCUAAGUAUAAGCACUUGUACUGUGAAACUGCGAAUGGCUCAUUAAAUCAGUUAUCGUUUAUUUGAUUGUACCUUUACUACUUGGAUAACCGUGGUAAUUCUAGAGCUAAUACAUGCGAAAAGUCCCGACUUCUGGAAGGGAUGUAUUUAUUAGAUUCAAAACCAAUGCGGGUUCUGCCCGGUCGUUUGGUGAUUCAUAGUAACUGUUCGAAUCGCAGGGCCUCGCGCCGGCGAUGUUUCAUUCAAAUUUCUGCCCUAUCAACUGUCGAUGGUAAGGUAUUGGCUUACCAUGGUUACAACGGGUGACGGAGAAUUAGGGUUCGAUUCCGGAGAGGGAGCCUGAGAAACGGCUACCACAUCCAAGGAAGGCAGCAGGCGCGCAAAUUACCCAAUCCUGACCCAGGGAGGUAGUGACAAGAAAUAACAAUACAGGGCUUUUCUAAGUCUUGUAAUUGGAAUGAGUACAACUUAAAUCCUUUAACGAGGAUCCAUUGGGGCAUGUCUGGUGCCAGCAGCCGCGGUAAUCC
rnacentral:ncRNA from 1 species